UGCCAGCAGCCGCGGUAAUACGGAGGGUGCGAGCGUUAAUCGGAAUUACUGGGCGUAAAGCGCGCGUAGGCGGUUUGGUCAGUCGGAUGUGAAAGCCCUGGGCUUAACCUGGGAAUGGCAUUCGAUACUGCCUGACUAGAGUAUGGUAGAGGGAAGUGGAAUUUCCGGUGUAGCGGUGAAAUGCGUAGAUAUCGGAAGGAACACCAGUGGCGAAGGCGACUGCCUGGACUGAUACUGACACUGAGGUGCGAAAGCGUGGGGAGCAAACAGGAUUAGAUA
rnacentral:rRNA from 1 species